rnacentral:ncRNA from 2 species
UACGAAGGGGGCUAGCGUUGUUCGGAAUUACUGGGCGUAAAGCGCGCGCAGGCGGCCGUUCAAGUCAGGGGUGAAAGCCCGGAGCUCAACUCCGGAAUUGCCUUUGAAACUGAUCGGCUUGAGUACGGAAGAGGUGAGUGGAAUUCCCAGUGUAGAGGUGAAAUUCGUAGAUAUUGGGAAGAACACCGGUGGCGAAGGCGGCUCACUGGUCCGUUACUGACGCUCAGGCGCGACAGCGUGGGGAUCAAACAGG